rnacentral:rRNA from 1 species
AAAGUAACUGGGAGCAUGAGCAGGUGUAAAUCGUGGGGGGGAUGCAGAAAUGGGAUAUACGUGGCGUACAGGGUGCGCAGGGGGUUGGGUAAGACAGAGUGGUAAUCCCAGGGCGUAACCUGGGAACUGACUGUGUGACUGCGAGGCUGGAGUGCGGCAGAGCGGGAGGGAAGUCCGCGUGUAGCAGGGAAAUGCGUAGAUAGGCGGAGGGAGACCGAUGGCGAAGGCGAUCCCCUGGGCCUGCACUGACGCUCAUGCACGAAAGCGUGGGGAGCAAACAGGAUUAGAUACCCGAGUAGUC